rnacentral:lncRNA from 1 species
UCAUCCUUUACAGAAAGGAAAACGUUCCUGGAAGACUGGGGUAAUGCCCCGAGUUCUCAGAAAACAGCUAAAGAAGCAGAAUUGAACCUGCUAAAGAAGAAAUUGGAUAUGGUGGUGGAGUUCUCUGAAAAACAAAAACUGACUGCAGAAGAGAAGCUAGAAGAGACACUGUAUGAAUUGAAUGCAACUAAGAAUGAGCUGUUAGCUGCUGAUAAAUAUCUGAAAGUAACUGAAGAAGAAAUGGGGAAGUACAGGUAAGUUCAGACACUACAUACUAUUGGCUCUUGAAAAGUUCCCUUUGGAUUAUUUUA